rnacentral:misc_RNA from 1 species
AUUUCGACAAAUUGGUCCCAUUUAAAUUUAUUUGAGAUCUAACAACUACUUUUCGAGUUAUAUCUAAUAAUGCGUUUUUACUUGACGCUUUUAUUCGUCGACCUACGUUGUAUUAUACCGCAUAACUUUCUACUGGAUGUACCGAUUUUGAUAAUUCUUUUUUUGUUAGAAAGGAGAUAUCCCUAGUUUAGUACCAUGAUAAGGAAACCAGGAUCUGAUGA